rnacentral:rRNA from 1 species
GAUGAACGCUGGCGGCGUGCCUAAUACAUGCAAGUCGAGCGAAUGGAUUAAGAGCUUGCUCUUAUGAAGUUAGCGGCGGACGGGUGAGUAACACGUGGGUAACCUGCCCAUAAGACUGGGAUAACUCCGGGAAACCGGGGCUAAUACCGGAUAACAUUUUGAACCGCAUGGUUCGGAAUUGAAAGGCGGCUUCGGCUGUCACUUAUGGAUUGGCCCGCGUCGCAUUAGCUAGUUGGUGAGGUAACGGCUCACCAAGGCAACGAUGCGUAGCCGACCUGAGAGGGUGAUCGGCCACGCUGGGACUGAGACACGGCCCAGACUCCUACGGGAGGCAGCAGUAGGGAAUCUUCCGCAAUGGACGAAAGUCUGACGGAGCAACGCCGCGUGAGUGAUGAAGGCUUUCGGGUCGUAAAACUCUGUUGUUAGGGAAGAACAAGUGCUAGUUGAAUAAGCUGGCACCUUGACGGUACCUAACCAGAAAGCCACGGCUAACUACGUGCCAGCCGCCGCGGUAA